rnacentral:rRNA from 1 species
GACAGAGGCCUCAAGCGUUAGGCGGAAUCACUGGGCUUAAAGCGUGUGUAGGCGGAUGCCUAAGUACCUUGUGAAAUCCCACGGCUCAACCGUGGAACUGCUGGGUAUACUGGGGUGUCUUGGGCCAUUCAGGGGCGACUGGAACAAGCGGUGGAGCGGUGAAAUGCGUAGAUGAUCGCUUGGAACGCCGAAGGUGAAAACAGGUCGCUGGGGAUGUGCCGACGCUGAGACACGAAGCCAGGGGAGCAAACGGG